GGUUUCUUGUAAUUAUUUAGGAGAUCUGACCUGCCCACUGAAAAUAUUUUGAAGGGCCGCAGUAUUUUGACUGUGCAAAGGUAGCAUAAUCAUUAGUCUUUUAAUUGAAGGCUGGUAUGAAUGGUCGGAUGAGGUAAAUUCUGUUUUAUGUUAAUUGAUGUUGAAUUUAGAUUUUAAGUAAAAAUACUUAAAUGUUAUUAAGGGACGAGAAGACCCUAUAGAGUUUAAUAAAUAUAAUAACUAAUUGAGUUAAAGUUUAAUUUUUGGUUUUUAUGUAAUUUAUUUAAUUGGGGUGAUUGGAAGAUAAAAUAAACUCUUCUUUAUAUUUAAUAAAUUAAUUAGUUAUAUGAUCCAUAUUUAAUGAUUAAAAGAUUAAAUUACCUUAGGGAUAACAGCAUAAUUCUUUUUAAGAGUUCAUAUCGAAAAAAGAGAUUGUGACCUCGAUGUUGGAUUAAGAUUAGUUAUGGGUGCAGAUGUUCAAUAACUAGGUCUGUUCGACCUUGAAAAUCUU
rnacentral:rRNA from 1 species